ACAGAGCCAAGAGCUUUAUUUAGCCUCUUCGAAAUCCCACAGACAGGGACAGUACUUCUGAGCUAGUGUCCUUGCUGUGGAAGAGGACAAAAGCUCGUGAGCAGGCUUUGCCCCGGGAAGACAGCCA
ensembl:misc_RNA predicted gene, 27601